rnacentral:tRNA from 1 species
GGUAUAGCUCAAGUGGUAGAGCGCGUGCUUAGCAUGCAUGAGGUCCUGGGUUCAAUCCCCAGUACC